UAGUUAGCGAUGAUUAGGAUUAGUAAACGAAGGUAGUUAUAUAGAGAGAAAAUGGCUGGUGAAAAUUUUCUGACGAUAUCGUUGAAGCUGUCUAUGAGCUGUAAUUACCAAAUGAGCUGCAAAGUUUAUAUACUUUGCAAUUAGGGUGGUACCGCGAAAAAUGCUUUCGUCCCUUUG
rnacentral:ncRNA from 1 species